rnacentral:lncRNA from 1 species
GUCCGCUCCUCUCCUCUUCCCCUCCUCUGUUAGCCCUUUUGUGGUAGAUUCUCCCCCUUCGGGGCUUUUUGCCCCCCUUCCUGGCAAAACAAUCUCCUCCGCUGCUCGUACAAAGGGCACUUUGGGUGUCUGGAUAAAAAAACGUGUAACUUGAUGUUCAUUGGACAGAUUUUUUUUCUUACCCCUAAGGGUGAGGACCUAGAAAAAAUGUGCUUCUCCCCUCGGCUUCACUAUCUUCUCUCUCCACCCCAACGCUUUUUCCUUCAUUCACUUUUAGUAGGGCUACGGAGAUUGUGGAGCGGGAAGGGGCGGGCGAGAGAGAGGCUGUGGCGAUUUUCCAAAGAUCUCCAAGGCCAGGGACACAAUAGACGCUGCGCGUUCCUGGCCCCUACGAGCCCCGCUGAGCGUGCGCGUCUUGUCCGGGCGCCGGCCGGCACUGAGCACUAAGUUUUCCCGCUGGACGUACUAAGAGGAGACAGAACGCCCGCCAAGAAACCGACACCCAGACCCCUGGAGAAGGCAAGGACCCGGCGGAUGGAAAGGCGAGACUAGCACGCACCUGCGCUAGAUGUUCGUUUUCAGUAGACAGGGCUUCCGCCUCUCCAUUGCCCUCCCGGGUUAGUGAGUUAUUUGCCGCUAUCUCAGUGGGUAGGAAGAGGGGCCCUGAACACUGAGAUGAUUACUCAAUUGCGUCUGGGAGCUUCCCACAUUUCCCCGUCGGUGCUGGGCUCUCGGGAUAUUGGCAAGCAGAGUCUCGGGGCUCUUGGCGCGCCGAUCGGUUUGGGGCUCUUCUCUGGGUGCAACAGGUCUGUUGAACCUGGAACCGAGAGGGGAGCAGCCGAGGUGACGUGGAGGGGCGGAGGGGCUGGGGGAGGCUGGUUUCCAAGAGCCGCACUCCCGAGGUUGGGGAGCGCGUGCCCGUCUCCCCGCAGAGCGAGACGCCCGCGGCUGGAUGCAAACCAGAGGUCCCUACAACUCCGGCUGGCGAACCGCAGGUGGGAGCUCUCGGCUGCCAGGCUCCGGACAGGCCCCCCAGCUCACCCCACUUCAGCUUCGUGGCCGCAAGAGGUAACCUUUCGCAAAGCCAAGCCCGGGGGCCCCUUGACUAACCUGGAAAGGGCCCGGGCAGGGACUUGGUCACCAUGGCCGGAGAGGAAAAUUGAUUGCUUGCUGUCCACUUCUUUCUGGAAAAAAGUCCCCUCCUACCCUGCCGCUCAAGCUGCAGAGCAAGGGCGCGGGGAGGAGGAUGAGGAGGGAGGAAGCCUUUUGGGGAAUACUUGCCUCUCCCUGGCUGUCUGUCCGGUCCGCAGCCGCCAGAGUGGGAGACAGGUCUGUAGUUCCGACAAGGUCCGCUCCAGUGUCGACGCGGUGGACACGGCUGCGGGGGCCAGGGGACAACAGCUGCUUUAAAGCCGGGAGCAACCCACAGGUGGCCUGUCAGGGAAACGGACGUCCGUGACGUCAUCCUGAAGCCACCUUCACAGGCCAGACGUGGCUCACUUCCGGAGAGCGUACCCCACUCCUGCACCACUGCGGUGCCACAACUUGCACUCCAAGAGCCACCUGGCCCGAUCCUCACCUGUCAGGGUGGACAGACCGAGUCUCUAAAGCUCCCCCAUAGCUUCAGAAAACUCACAACCUGGCCAGAAAAUAACAAACCCGCCGCCACUGACCGAGCACACAUUUCGGGGAUUGCCAACGGCUGGCCAGCAAAACAAAUGAGACACAAGGGUGUUUUCUUGACCUCCCAGUGUUUUAAAUUUUGAAAUGCUUGUUGACAAAAUGGAGAUUUUUAAAGGAAAUCUGAGUUUUGCGUGUCCCUUGAGCAGGGGGCAGGUGUGCUGCAUGCCUUAGAGAAGCCCUGAAACCUACAGAAAGGGCUGGGGUCCAGGCCUGCUUUUCUUUUUUUACCCAUGUCACCAGCUAUUUGUUAUUAUCCUUUUUCUUUUUUCCUUUUAUUCUUUCGAUGAAAAAGAAUGAAAGUGAAAAAAUAGUUUUUUGUCUUUAUCUCACUUGUAAGCGUCCCAGUUUUUGCCCCCCUGAUUUCCCACAUUGGUCAGCAAAAGCUGCCAUGGUUUUUCUUAGAAGCGGUUCUUAACACACUUCUGGCUGUUGUCACACAGGUCCAACUGGCCUGACAGACUUCCAUGUUGCCCACAUCCUGACAACAGAGGCAGCAGGACACUUCCUCCUACGAGGCAGGAUUUUGAUUUGUUUUGUUUCUAUUUGGGGGUUUUAAAGUAUGCAGGUAUUUGGAAACACUUAAAAACCAAGUUUUUCAUUUAUUACGUAGAUAUUUGGUCACACAGAACUUUUUUUGUUUUUAAUUCUGGAGAUGGAAUCCAAGACCUCUUUAAAUUUAAGGAAUAAUAUCUCAUUUAUAAGUAUAUGGAAAAGUAGGGCUGUAGCUCAGUGGUAGCAUGCAUGAGGCCCUGGUUUCAAAUCCAACACACACAUACACACACACACUAAAAUAAAUGGAGAAAUGGGAAGAAGAAAGAAAAUUUGAAGCACUCUCAGACUCACCUUUUGUCAUGCAAACCUAGCAGUGUUUUAUAAAUUCUGAUUAGUAGAGUAAAUACAGCCAUGAAAAAUUUGAACACAAUGAAACAAUAUUCAAAUAAAAACCACCUUCAAAACCAGGGACACAUAGUUGCAUCUCACACAUUCUCUCUCACUCUGUCACAAUUAUAAGGACAGUCAUUAAAUGGGUAUUUGGAUAUGUGCAACAUAUAUGCUUCCCUUAGCAGAAGAGCUCCCAACACCCUGCAAGCAGAAACAGGCUUUUAUUUUCAUUUACAUACUUGCUGUCCUAGCCCAGUGUCUGGGAAUUUUGAUUGCAAGCAAAGGCAACUUUGUAGCUCAGUAGUAAGUAGUUCAGUCAAUUUGGAUCUAUUCUAAAUCUUGUCCAAUGUGGACUGUUUCUGGCCUAUUCAGGAAAAUUAGAGCAGGGAGAAAAAUUCUACCACAUCACACUUUUUGUGAGAAACUGUUAGGCAGUGCUGGCGAACCUACGGCAUGCACGCUGCACCUGACACACAGAGUCCUCUUUGUCAGCAUGCAAUCCAAGUCGCCCCAGCAGCAGAGCAUCAGAUAACACUUGUCUUUUCUAAACUGAAAACCUCAGUAUUCGGGUUUAACUGCAGUGUUGGUACUUUGUGAUAAAGAAGCAGGUUUGGGGAUGUAGUUUGGGGACAUGGUCUCUGCCAUCUCUGCUGUUAGGUUUCUGGGUGGAGUUCUCCAAUUCUUCGUCUUGCUGAUUUGAUCCUUAACACAGUGUACCUCUGCUGGAGCCAUUUCGUUUGUAAGUUUAAGAGCUCUAGGCUGUAGAUGAAAUGAGAGAACAAUAGUAAUCAUCUAUCCAUUAUCUUAAAAAGACACUUGAUACUUCACCAAGCAUUUCACAUGGUAUAGCUGCCUUGAUAGCAGAGCUGCCUGUUCAAUAGAAGAAGAAGCAGAACUCUCACUGUUUAAUUCACUUGAGUUACCAGGGCUUUUUAUGCUAAAAAGACCCAUUGUCUCUCUUGCAUGAAUUAUCAAAAUUACAUAGUCAAUAGUUAAGAAAGUUAAACCGACAAUUUACAAAAAUGGGAAAACAACUGGUAUAUAUUUGGAAAUGUUUUGUCCUUUAUUUAAAAUAGAAAUGUGAAUUAUUCAGAAUAGGGUACCAAUUUCUCCAUACUGAAUUUAAAAAUAAAUCCAUUUCCCAAUUCUGGAGAGGGUGUGGUGAAAUACCUUGUGGCAGUUAAAAAUUUGUUGAAUCUAUUGGAAUGCAAUUUUGUAAGGUAUAUAAAGAAUCAUAAACAUGUUCAUGCCGUUUGAGCCAAUUCUUCUUUCUGAAUAUUCUAAUAAAAUAAUCCUAAAUACAGGAAAUACUACAAAUGUGAAGGUGUACAUUGUAGUAUUGCUUAAAAAAUUUUAAAGGGAAAACAAUGUAAAUAUUCAUGUAUGAGGGGCUGGAACAUCAACCACUGAAUGGAUGGAAUGUUCUAUCAACUUUAAUGCCUAUAUAUAUGCUGAAACAUGAGCAGAGAAAAUACUCGUGAUAUACUAUCAAGGAAGGAAAUAAGCAGAAUGUAAAUUUGCCUCUACAGUUAUGGUUAAAGUAAUGGCUUAAAAAGCAUGCAUAGCUCUAGGGAUACAGCUCAGUGGUAGAACAUGUGCUUAACAUAAGCAAGGCCCUGGGUUCCAUACUAGCACGGUAAAAGGGGGGGGGGCAUGCAUAUAAAAAGUAGAACAGAGGUAUAUCAAAGUGUGAUGAAGUUUUUAUAGGUGAAUUUCAAUUUUUUUAUCAUGUACCUCAAAUUUUCUGAAAUAUAAUAUAGUUUUUGUAAUUAAAAUGGAGUAUGAUAGAAAUAUAAGAGUGGGUGGUAUUUAUUAGGCAUCUAUUAUUUAUCUAGCACUGUUCAGAUGGGCAAAAUUAGGACAAGUGUGGAGACUGGCCCUCAGACCCACACAGGCUGUUUCAGAUCUUGCCUAGGGUAUUUGGUGACCGUGAGAUGGUUUGGCUGUAUCAAUAAAGAGCUGAUGAGAA